AGCAUAGCAGCAGGGAGACAAGUGCCACAAGAUGAGCUGGAGAAAGGCACUGGGAAAGGUUUGUCUUUUAAGUGCUCUGAGAAGCAAUUGAAGAUUUGAAAUAGAAUAGUGACUUGCUUGAUCACAUUUGUACUUUUGAAAAGUUCCUCUGGCUGCUGUGGGGAAAGGCUUGAGUAGAUGCAGGGUGGGAGAAGCAUAACCAGCAGCAGACUCUUGUAGCAGGUUAGGUGAGAGAUGGUGGUGGCCACGAGUGGGCUGCUAGUGGUGGAAGUGACAAGAAGUAGAAGGAUCGGAGACAAAACUUGAAGAUAAAAAGUCUUGAAUUUGCUGAUGAUUUGCAUUGACGAGGUGUUGCGGGAGAGGACUGAAGGAGCAGAGGAGAGUGACAAGGGACUGGAUGCCAUUUAUAAUGAUGGGGAAGACUGGGAUGAAACCGGUUAAGGGAGAAAUUUUAAACAUGGCAAACUUAAGAGGGGUUUUAUGUGAGAAAAUGGAAAUGCUAAGAAGGAAGUUGAAAAUNNNNNNNNNNNNNNNNNNNNAAGCAAUUUGUCCUAAAUUUCCAUAUGUUUGCAUUGUUUUUUGCUGUUCUAAAAUUCCUUAGUUGCUGGCUUUGACCUUUUAUGUUGCUGAGUUUUACACAUCUAUUUUCUCAACUGCCAUAUCCUAGGAGGCUUGGAGUACCCAUAAUACAGUGAGCCCACCUUCCUGGUCCCCAGACAUUUCAGAAGGUCGGGAAAUUUUUAAACCCAGGCAGCUUCCUGGCAGUGCCAUUUGGAGCAUCAAAGUGGGCCAUGGGUCUGGAUUUCCAGGAAAGCGGAGACCUCGAGGUGCAGGACUGUCGGGGCGAGGUGGCCGAGGCAGGUCAAAGCUGAAAAGUGGAAUCGGAGCUGUUGUAUUGCCUGGGGUGUCUACUGCAGAUAUUUCAUCAAAUAAGGAUGAUGAAGAAAACUCUGUGCUCGAUAUGGUUGUGUUGUUUUCUAGCAGUGACAAGUUCACUUUGAAUCAGGAUAUAUGUGUAGUUUGUAGCAGUUUUGGCCAAGGAGCAGAAGGAAGAUUACUUGCCUGUUCUCAGUGUGGUCAGUGUUACCAUCCAUACU
rnacentral:lncRNA from 1 species